UCGCUUUUUUGUCUCUGUAGUGAUCCAUUCCUCUUUGGGAUUGUGAGUUUGAAGAUAUAUUCUCAGGUCCAAAUUUUCACCACACUCACCAAAGUAGCGGCCAUUUUGUUAAUCAUAUGUGGAGGUCUUUUCAAUCUUAUCCAAGGUUAUCAUGAAAACUUUACAGAGCGUUUUUGGGACCGAGUUCCAUCCACCUCAGAGACGUCAUUUGAAUCUAUUAGUAAUGCCUUUUUCUCUGCCUUAUACGCACUUAACGGUUGGCAAAUUGCUGGAGAUUUGGCUGAAGAAAUCAGGAAACCAAAGAGAAACGUUCCAUUGUCGCUCAUCAUAGGAAUCACCUCUAUCCUCAUCAUGUAUAUUUUUGGUCAACAUUUCCUACCUGAGUGCCCUCACACCAGAUGAAUUAAUUCUAUCCCCAUCUGUGGCCGCAGAUUGGGCCAAGGCCACGUUGGAAAAAACCACUGGAGUGAUUGGGAACUUUAGUGCCCAUGGUGGUUACUAUCACAGUGGCUUUGUCCUCGUUUGGUGGAACGCUUAGUGGACCUAGCCGGGACUAGGUUGAUUUUUGCGGCUGGUCGCGAGGGACAUCUUCCAAGAAUGAUGUCAUACCUUCAUACGUCCUUCAGAACUCCAAUACUGUCCGUAUUAUUAAAUGUAAGGCAAAAAGGUAUUUCUUUACAUGAAACAUCUUGUUUUCCGAAAAAACAAUACGUAGUUAAAUCUAGAGAAUUCUAAGUAUGCGAAAAAUGUUCUAUGAC